rnacentral:rRNA from 1 species
AUACGUAGGGCGCGAGCGUUGUCCGGAAUUACUGGGUGUAAAGGGAGCGUAGGCGGGAGUGCAAGUCAGAUGUGAAAUACAUGGGCUCAACCCAUGGGCUGCAUUUGAAACUGCAUUUCUUGAGUGAAGUAGAGGUAAGCGGAAUUCCUGGUGUAGCGGUGAAAUGCGUAGAUAUCAGGAGGAACACCGGUGGCGAAGGCGGCUUACUGGGCUUUUACUGACGCUGAGGCUCGAAAGCGUGGGGAGCAAACAGGAUUAGAUACCCUGGUAGUCCACGCUGUAAACGAUGAUUACUAGGUGUGGGGGGACUGACCCCUUCCGUGCCGCAGGUAACACAAUAAGUAAUCCACCUGGGGAGUACGGCCGCAAGGUUGAAACUUAAAGGAAUUGACGGGG